UGCGACGAUGAGAAACUGUCUAACGACAGGCGGACCGACACACCCAAUGAGGACUCUUGAAUGUGUACAAAUGUUGAGCA
rnacentral:ncRNA from 2 species